AGGUUACUCUAACUUGACCCUAACAUGAGUGUAACCUGUUAGAAAGUUACUCUAAUUUUCUCACUAACGUUAGGGUAAAAUGAGACUAAAAUUAGACAGAUCUGCAACACUUUUGUUAGAUAUGUUUAUGUAAGUUGCAUAAUUUUAUCUAACCUGUUAGCCUCACUUUAGUAUAACGUUAGCAAUGUUUUGCAGUGAGCGGUUAGGGAGUUGUGAGGGUUGUUUUGAAAGGGCUUUCAUCCUGAUUUAUUUACAUUCAGCUGUCAUCCGAGGCAGAAUUAUUAUGUACCGUGAAAGUACAUAAAACAUAACUGCCUUGAAUGACAGUCAAAUGUAAAUAAAGUAUUAAUAAAAAUCUGUACCCUGCAGGUGUAUUUUCUGCAGAAUAAUCAUUAAAUAUUUAAUUAUCUGGACUACAUUUACAUCGAAUCAUAUUUGGGCUGCAUUUGUCGCCCUUUCCGAAGUGGCACUUUUCGGUUUGCUUCUGACACAUCCGGUGAAGGUAUAAAGCAAAACAGCGAUGGGUGGAAUCCUCCAAGUGGCACUGCAGAACGAGAAUUUCUGGAUUUUCAGUAAGGUCUUCCGGUCCAGAACGUACCUCAUCGUCCGAAGUUUAGAAGACCAGGAAAUUUUCAGAAUGUAUCCGCUACUUAUGCCGAUGCCGCACUGUUUUUUCGGUCCUGAAUUGUCUUUGCGUUGUGUGGCCUUGAUGGCCAGGAGUAAGGAUAUAUUGCAAAAAUGAAAUGUAACUGAUUUUAAGGAAAUAAAAUGAAACUUAUAUUUUAGAA